AUAAAUACCUCAAAGAAGAAGAACAAAAAAAAAAACACAACAACACAACAAUUGCAACAACACUGGUUUCUGUUGUUUCAGUAAAUACUAAGAAAGUCAAGCCAAGUGUAAAGUUAACAUGAAGUCAACUGGUUGUCUUUGUAAAUCAGAAGCAGAAUCGUGUUUAUUGGCAGGUGUCAGAGGUCUACACUAGGAAUUUGAUUUGGUUUUGUUGGUGCAAGUAAGCAGUAUAAUAACAAAAGAUUAGAUAAAAACGUUAGAAUAAAAUAAGAAU